UACGUAGGGUGCGAGCGUUGUCCGGAAUUAUUGGGCGUAAAGAGCUCGUAGGCGGUGUGUCACGUCGGCCGUGAAAACCUGCGGCUUAACUGUGGGCGUGCGGUCGAUACGGGCAUCACUGGAGUUCGGCAGGGGAGACUGGAAUUCCUGGUGUAGCGGUGAAAUGCGCAGAUAUCAGGAGGAACACCGGUGGCGAAGGCGGGUCUCUGGGCCGAUACUGACGCUGAGGAGCGAAAGCGUGGGGAGCGAACAGG
rnacentral:rRNA from 1 species